GACGUAGGAGGCGAGCGUUGUCCGGAUUUACUGGGCGUAAAGCGCGCGCAGGCGGUCGAUCAAGUCGAGUGUGAAAGCCCCCGGCUCAACUGGGGAGGGUCAUUCGAUACUGAUCGACUCGAAGGCAGGAGAGGGUAGUGGAAUUCCCGGUGUAGUGGUGAAAUGCGUAGAUAUCGGGAGGAACACCAGUGGCGAAGGCGACUACCUGGCCUGUUCUUGACGCUGAGGCGCGAAAGCUAGGGGAGCAAACGGG
rnacentral:rRNA from 1 species